CUCAUCUCCUUUUGUUUCAAGAUGAUUAAGAUCAAAGCCAGGUUUCCGGAGAUCCCCAGAAUGAUCACAGCUCCAUAAGCAAGAGCUAAGAUUGGACAAAUGCACAGUAUGUUUCUUCAAAUCAUUUUAACUGUUCAACUUAUUCUUCUUUCCCUUAUUGGAAUCCAUUUACUGUAAUUAUUCUCAAUUCUUCAUUCCCAUGAGCUGAACAACCUAUAAAGAGAAAAUGACCAAUUCAGUUACUAAUGGCAGUCAAAAUGAGUUUUGAUUUGUGGAACUCUUUAAAGUGAAGACAUUGAAGGAACGCCUUGGAAUGACUGCCUAACACUAAUGGUGUAAUCACACGUCUUCUCAAGAAUUCAAAAGGCAGAGGGAGAAUCAUCAGUUAAUGCCAGUUUGGGUGUGAGAACAAACUUUGAAGCGCAGGAAAGGUAUCCUGCGAGGGGCCAGAAGGAGCUGCAAGGAUCCGCUGCUAUUUCUCUGGCUCAAACCCUAAAGAUUGGUGAAGAUAGGAAGAGACGCCCCUUAAAGCUGAACUCCACCUCAUCCCGAGAUCACAUGACGAAGCCCUGAGGAGCACCCGGGCUCCCCACACCCCCAACGCCUCCC